UACGUAGGGGGCAAGCGUUGUCCGGAAUCAUUGGGCGUAAAGAGCGUGUAGGCGGUCCGGUAAGUCGGCUGUGAAAGUCCAGGGCUCAACCCUGGGGUGCCGGUCGAUACUGCCGGACUAGAGUUCGGAAGAGGCGAGUGGAAUUCCCGGUGUAGCGGUGAAAUGCGCAGAUAUCGGGAGGAACACCUAUGGCGAAGGCAGCUCGCUGGGACGUUACUGACGCUGGAGACGCGAAAGCGUGGGGAGCAAACAGG
rnacentral:rRNA from 1 species